GGACCCCUAGCUCAGUGGUAGAGCGUAAGAUUCCAGUUCAUUGUGUUGGAAAUUCCUUAAGGUCAUCCGUUCAAUCCGGGUGGGGUUCA